rnacentral:rRNA from 1 species
UUCCGGUUGAUCCUGCCGGACCUGACUGCUAUCGGAUUGAUACUAAGCCAUGCAAGUCUUUGUAGUAAUACAAGGCAUACGGCUCAGUAACGCGUAGUCAACCUACCCUAUGGAUGGGGAUAAUCUCGGGAAACUGAGCAUAAUACCCAACAGAUCAUCAAUUCUGGAAUGGUUGAUGAUUCAAAUGAUUUUUCGCCAUAGGAUGGGACUGCGACCUAUCAGCUUGUUGGUGAGGUAAUGGCCCACCAAGGCAAUUACAGGUACGGGCUCUGAGAGGAGAAGCCCGGAGAUGGGUACUGAGACAAGGACCCAGGCCCUAUGGGGCGCAGCAGGCGAGAAAACUUUGCAAUGUGCGAAAGCACGACAAGGUUAAUCCGAGUGAUUUCUGCUAAAGGAAUCUUUUGCCAGUUCUAAAAAUACUAGUGAAUAAGGGGUGGGCAAGUUCUGGUGUCAGCCGCCGCGGUAAAACCAGCACCUCAAGUGGUCAGGAGGAUUAUUGGGCCUAAAGCAUCCGUAGCCUGCUCUGUAAGUUUUCGGUUAAAUCUAUAUGCUCAACGUAUAGGCUGCCGAAAAUACUGCAGUGCUAGGAAGUGGGAGAGGUAGACGGUACUUGAUAGGAAGGGGUAAAAUCCUUUGAUCUAUCGAUGACCACCUGUGGCGAAGGCGGUCUACCAGAACACGUUCGACGGUGAGGGAUGAAAGCUGGGGGAGCAAACCGGAUUAGAUACCCGGGUAGUCCCAGCUGUAAACGAUGCAGACUCGAUGAUGCAUUGGCAUAUAGCCAGUGCAGUGUCGCAGGGAAGCCGUUAAGUCUGCCGCCUGGGAAGUACGUACGCAAGUAUGAAACUUAAAGGAAUUGGCGGGGGAGCACCACAAGGGGUGAAGCCUGCGGUUCAAUUGGAUUCAACGCCGGG